ACGCUGGCGGCAGGCCUAACACAUGCAAGUCGAGCGGUAGAGAGAAGCUUGCUUCUCUUGAGAGCGGCGGACGGGUGAGUAAUGCCUAGGAAUCUGCCUGGUAGUGGGGGAUAACGCCCGGAAACGGACGCUAAUACCGCAUACGUCCUACGGGAGAAAGCAGGGGACCUUCGGGCCUUGCGCUAUCAGAUGAGCCUAGGUCGGAUUAGCUAGUUGGUGAGGUAAUGGCUCACCAAGGCGACGAUCCGUAACUGGACUGAGAGGAUGAUCAGUCACACUGGAACUGAGACACGGUCCAGACUCCUACGGGAGGCAGCAGUGGGGAAUAUUGGACAAUGGGCGAAAGCCUGAUCCAGCCAUGCCGCGUGUGUGAAGAAGGUCUUCGGAUUGUAAAGCACUUUAAGUUGGGAGGAAGGGCAGUAAAUUAAUACUUUGCUGUUUUGACGUUACCGACAGGAUAAGCACCGGCUAACUCUGUGCCGGCAGCCGCGGUAAUACAGAGGGUGCAAGCGUUAAUCGGAAUUACUGGGCGUAAAGCACGCGUAGGUGGUUCGUUAAGUUGGAUGUGAAAUCCCCGGGCUCAACCUGGGAACUGCAUUCAAAACUGUCGAGCUAGAGUAUGGUAGAGGGUGGUGGAAUUUCCUGUGUAGCGGUGAAAUGCGUAGAUAUAGGAAGGGACACCAGUGGCGAAGGCGACCACCUGGACUGAUACUGACACUGAGGUGCGAAAGCGUGGGGAGCAAAC
rnacentral:rRNA from 1 species